AUCCUUUGGUUCAUGAGUGUGAUGAUCUGGUGUUCAUGCUGUAUGAGCAGGAUGUGCCUUCCUCAAUCCUUGUUAUGACAUUGGCACAUUACCUGUCUGAUG
rfam:Fukomys damarensis contig124211, whole genome shotgun sequence.